CACUGAUUUAAGGGCCGCAGUAUCCUGACUGUGCUAAGGUAGCAUAAUAAUUUGUCUUUUAAUUGGAGACUGGUAUAAAUGAGUUGACGAAGAGUUAGCUGUCUUUUUUAAGUUCUUUAAACUUGCCUUUAAGGUUAAAAGGCCUUAAUAAUUCAAAGGGACGACAAGACCCUAAAAACUUCAUCCCCUUUUUGACGAAUAAGAAAAUUCAAAUUUUAGGGAUUUUACUGGGGCGGUAAAUAAAAACAAAACUAAAUAAAACACUUUGGGUGAAAUAAAAAGACAUGUAUACAUACAAAAGAAACAGUUACUUUAGGGAUAACAGCGCAAUUUUUCCAGAGAGUUCUAAUCGGCGGAAAAGAUUACGACCUCGAUGUUGAAUUGAAAUUCCUCCUUCAGAGCAGAAACACAGGAAGGGAGUCUGUUCGACUCUUAAAAUUUCACAUGAUCUG
rnacentral:rRNA from 1 species